CCGAGGACCUGAAGGAGGG
rnacentral:misc_RNA from 1 species